rnacentral:lncRNA from 1 species
GGCCUAAAUUUCUGCUCCCAUACUAAGGCCUUGUUUAGUUUUAAAUUCUUUUUGCAAAAUAGACACUAUAGUAUUUUUGUUUGUAUUUAACAAAUAUUGUCUAAUUAUAGAUUAACUAGACUCAAAAGAUUCAUCACGCAAAUUACAUGUAAAUUGUGUAACUAGUUAAAUUUUUAUCUAUAUUUAAUGCUCUAUGCAUGUGUCGUAAGAUUCGAUGUGAUGUGGAAUUUAAAAAUUUUAUAAUUUAUAAAAUUUUUUGGAACUAAACAAGGCCUAACCAAAAAGUGUCAUGAGAAAAGUGGAGACCAGGGCUCAACACAUGUAUAGCAUCCAGGAGUGGACACAGCUCAACAGUCAACAUGCAGCAGUGCGUGGAGGACUGUUUCAUUGAUUUGCGUGCGAAACUAAUUAAAAGAAACUCAUAACUACCAAACCGAGUAUCUAAAUAAAAUUCUGAUUGCACAAUUAUAUUUCUUAUAAUAAAUGCUUCAAAACAAGAUUCCACAUGAAUAUAUUUAGAUAAAUUUUAGUUCUGAACAUUAAUUUUACAAAGAUAGAACAUUUUUUAUUAGGCAGAAACAAUGUUCUAGGUUCAGAGAAUAAUGUUCUACCUUUGUAAAACAAUGUUCUCCUUUUUAAAAAUAGUAUUCUAGUUUUUAGGAUAAAGAAAUAGUAUUAAAUAUACAUAAAAAUAAGAAUAUAACAUAAACAAAUAAUAUAAAAUCUGGAGCACAAUAUAGGAAAAAAAAUAAAAAACACCUAACAGAAAACAAUUUAAAAGAACAUCAUGUUGUGUUGCCAUGGCCCAUGGACAACAUUGCACAUCCUUUGUUCCAGAAAUUAAUUAGCAUAGGGCAUGCAUGCACAAACUAGAAAAAAAUCAUAACUACUAAACCAAAUAUUCAACUUAAAUUCUGAUUACAUCAUCAUAUUUUUUGCAAUGAAACAUUUAAAAUAAGAUCCCACAUGAAUAUAUUUAUGUAAAUUUUUAUUAAUGAACAUUAUCUUAUUCUCAAAAGAGAAAACAAGAAAUAGGUAAAGCUUCUAGUAAUGUGUUCACAUGGAUAACUUGUUCCAACAGUACU